rnacentral:rRNA from 1 species
AAAUUGAAGAGUUUGAUCAUGGCUCAGAUUGAACGCUGGCGGCAGGCCUAACACAUGCAAGUCGAACGGUAACAGGAAGCAGCUUGCUGCUUUGCUGACGAGUGGCGGACGGGUGAGUAAUGUCUGGGAAACUGCCUGAUGGAGGGGGAUAACUACUGGAAACGGUAGCUAAUACCGCAUAAUGUCGCAAGACCAAAGAGGGGGACCUUCGGGCCUCUUGCCAUCGGAUGUGCCCAGAUGGGAUUAGCU